GUGAGCCACGGUGUCUGAAAAGCGCCACAUAAAACAAGGGAGGGAAACGCUGCAUGGAACACUGAGUUGUGUUCUGAUUUUUCCACCUUGGAAACUGGAAACCUCGCAUUCAAAUGAAGCAAGUUGGAAGCUCCCCCGAGAUGCUGAUGAUGGCGAUACCCUGGAUCUGUUUGUGUUUUGUGGAUUGCACGGUUCUUCUUGGUUCAGCUUUUCCUUCUGGACUGAAGUAAAAGCUCCUAAUUGGAAUAUCCUGGCCUCACAGAAAAUGCUAGAAGUAUGAGAGAGCCCAAACAAACUCUCAUGUGCCGCACGUGACCCUUCUGUGGCUGUCCAUUGGUUCAAACCUGUCACCUGGCUGAGCCCGAAGAUGAGGUGAUGAUGAACUUCUCUCUCCGAUGAUGUGUGGCCAAGUCAUGGGACGAUGAGUAAGAAGGGGCCAUAUGUUUACUAAGGAGUACAGCACUGGGAACGGAACAUACUCUUCCACACUAUGGAAAGUGUUUAUCAGCUGUCAGAUUUUGUAAAGGCAAAGGCCAAGACAAGUAUUUCUGAGCAUGUGAUUUAUUGAGGGCCAUCUCUCAAGAGAAAACUAUAUGGAAUGAGAAGGAAAGGAGAAGACAAGACAAAGAGCCACGUUAAAAAACAUGUGAUUUCACUUGAAAUCUAACCUGGAUCCCCUGAGGCACUGGAGCAUAAACAGCAUUGCAAUGUC